GAUAGCUCAGGGGUAGAGCAUUUACCUAGCAUGUAGAGAGUCCUGGGUUCAAUCCCCAGCACUGUCA
rnacentral:tRNA from 1 species